GAUGAAGAACGCAGCAAAAUGCGAUACUUGGUGUGAAUUGCAGAAUCCCGUGAACCAUCGAGUCUUUGAACGCAAGUUGCGCCCGAAGCCAUUAGGCCGAGGGCACGCCUGCCUGGGCGUCACACGUCGUUGCCCCCCCAUCUACUCCUUCGGGAUUGCGGGGGGCGGAUGAUGGCCUCCCGUGCGCCACGCCGCGCGGUUGGCAUAAAUGCCAAGUCCUCGGCGACGCACGCCACGACAAUCGGUGGUUGCGAAACCUCGGUUGCCCGUCGUGUGCGGUCGUCGCGCAUCGAGGGCUCGAAAAAAUUGCCGGGUUCCGGCUCGGCUUUCAACGCGACCCCAGGUCAGGCGGGGUUACCCGCUGAAUUUAAGCAUAUCAAUAAGCGGAGGA
rnacentral:misc_RNA from 1 species